rnacentral:rRNA from 1 species
CACGUAGGGCGCAAGCGUUGUCCGGAAUUAUUGGGCGUAAAGAGCUCGUAGGCGGUCUGUUACGUCUGCUGUGAAAACCCGGGGCUUAACCCUGGGCUUGCAGUGGAUACGGGCAGACUAGAGGCAGGUAGGGGAGAAUGGAAUUCCCGGUGUAGCGGUGAAAUGCGCAGAUAUCAGGAGGAACACCAAUGGCGAAGGCAGCUCGCUGGGACGGUACUGACGCUGAGACGCGAAAGCGUGGGGAGCGAACAGG